rnacentral:rRNA from 1 species
GAUGAACGCUAGCGGCAGGCUUAAUACAUGCAAGUCGAACGGGAUUCGGGGUAGCAAUACUUUGAUGAGAGUGGCGCACGGGUGCGUAACGCGUAUGCAACCUACCUUUAACAGGGGAAUAGCCCCGAGAAAUCGGGAUUAAUACUCCGUAACAUUGCGGUGUGGCAUCACACUGCACUUAAAGCUGAGGCGGUUAAAGAUGGGCAUGCGUGACAUUAGCUAGUUGGUGAGGUAACGGCUCACCAAGGCAACGAUGUCUAGGGGUCCUGAGAGGGUUAUCCCCCACACUGGUACUGAGACACGGACCAG